GAGAACUGUCACACUAUGCUGAAAACACCAGGUCUCGUCCGAUCCCCGGAGUUAAGCAGCAUCGGGUCUGGUUUAGUACUUGGAUGGGUGACCGCCUGGUACUUGGAUGGGUGACCGCC
rnacentral:rRNA from 1 species